UACGUAGGGGGCAAGCGUUGUCCGGAUUUAUUGGGCGUAAAGAGUGUGUAGGCGGUGCUCUAAGUUCGUUGUGAAAUCUCCCGGCUUAACUGGGAGGGUGCGGCGGAAACUGGAGUGCUCGAGCGCGGGAGAGGAAAGCGGAAUUCCUGGUGCAGCGGUGAAAUGCGUAGAUAUCAGGAGGAACACCUGUGGUGUAGACAGCUUUCUGGACCGUAGCUGACGCUGAGACACGAAAGCGUGGGUAGCAAACAGG
rnacentral:rRNA from 1 species